rnacentral:rRNA from 1 species
UACGAAGGGUGCAAGCGUUGUUCGGAUUUAUUGGGCGUAAAGCGCGCGCAGGCGGACAAGCAAGUCAGAUGUGAAAUCUCGGGGCUCAACCCCGAACGUGCGUCUGAAACUACUAGUCUAGAAUAUCGGAGAGGGAAAUGGAAUUUCGCAUGUAGGGGUAAAAUCCGUAGAGAUGCGAAGGAACAUCAGAGGCGAAGGCGAUUUUCUGGCCGAUUAUUGACGCUGAGGCGCGAAAGCGUGGGGAGCAAACAGG